CCGAGGCGGAUGGAAACAACGUUUGCUCAUAAACAGGUCUGGUUAGAGCCAAGAAGAAGAGAAAAUAGGAUUCUCCUUCAUUUCCCUCUGCAAUUUGCCGAUGGCAAUCUGAACCCGAGCUAGUGAAGUUUCAUAGCUUCCUCUAAAGUCUUUAUCAUGGGGAUUGCCUUUAUGCAGAGAGAAACUUUAAACUUCAUGCAGUCAUACUCAAGAUUCAAUAAUGGGAUGAUUUAGUAACUGUAGGUGACAGAUUUGGUAUUGCAAGAUUUGGAUUGUUGGCAACAUCCAUGUUCUCCUCAUCUUGUCUGACUUCAGCUGAUUCACUUCUUGUGCAGCUUCUGCGUGCUGAUAUGUUCCUUCCUAGUUUCCAACUUCAUCAAGGACCAAUGAUAUACCUGACUUCCAUUGUCAAAAGCCAUUGUACCAGGAGAUGAAUUGUGUCCUCUGCUACUCUUGUUCUGAACUACAAGAACCUGCUGUCAUCAAAAAUAGUCAGAAGACCGAAAGUGGUGAAUUUCCGGACCUUCCUGUCUUGUUUGGGGUUCAUCAAGGCCAUCAAAGAAUUCAACGCCUUCAUCUGUUCUUGUCCACCAAACAUCUUCUCCAACCAGCAUAAAGUCUGCUAUCCUUUCCAAGUGGGCCUGAAAUAGCAGUGGAUUCUUCUCUCACCUUGAAAUUGCCCCACAGGAUGUUUUCCCUGCCUAUGAUAGUGCAGCAGCAAAUAUAUCUACAUUGUACACGUAUGAAAAUUUAACUUAAAAUUAAAAAAAAA